UGUGAUGGUGAUGAGAAGAUUCUCAAUUGGUAGAUGGUGGGCUGUGCAGACCACAUGUCAUCUCGUUCAGCCACUGUGAAAUCAGAAGAUGAAUCUAUUGACUUUUGCAAUCAUUUGUAUAGAAGUGGAUUUUUUUUUUAGUUACUGACCUUGUCAUUUACUGCCUUGAGCAAUUUUAUGAAGUACCUGCGUAUACAAGCCCGGAGACAAUCAGCCUGCAAGCUGCAAAGAUUUGUUUCUUCGUUAUUGGAAUAGUACAUAGCAUACGGAAGCCCAGUGCUUUUCUCCCAGCUCAGAUCUGUCAAGUUGACGUCAGUACGGAUACGUUAGGAGAAACAGUCACCUGUGCAAAUGCCGAGUGUAGGCUGGAAAGGUGUGUAAUACCAAACAUCUCUCAAAUAUUGAAGUAGAAACACCCGCUAACUUGUGGACGUGGUGCUUGAGAUGGAACAGGGACAUCUCUUCUCCGCAAGGCAGCAAGCCAAAUGCUGUUUCAUUGCAUCCAAAGCUUAAUGGAGAGAGGUGUAGGUGAGGCUGCGUAAACUCGAGCAUCAGAUGGCUGACAGUUCAUGUUGAUUUCCCUUCCAUUCUGCAUAACUCAGUGCCUGCUGGAGGGAAAAAGCAGUUCUUCUGCUUUGAAGUCAAAACCCAGAAAAUAUGGAGUCCACACAGCUUUAACUGCUUGAGUUUCAUGCUUGGAGCUUUCCCAAGAUUAGAAAUGAACCCUGCAAGUCUUUGUGCUCUGUGUAUUUCUCACUAAUCAGAUUCCAGAGUUGUGCAGAGGGGCAGUGCUGCCUUGGAGAUCUCAGCAGCUUCCCUUCCUAGGGCAGUCAGUGAGGUCUUCGUGCCGGUGAGUGGAGAAGUUUGUCAAAUAUCCUGGUUUAGCACAGGUGCUGCAUGAGUGUUGGGUACAUUCUGUGGCCUCGGGGAGGUGAGCUGGCACUUCCAGUCAUUUAGCUCAUCCACAAAUGGGGCUGUGAGGAGCUCCUCACCCAUAGGGUCGAAUUUGGAGAAAACGGCAGACUUCCAGCUCUAAUCCUUACCGUUCCCUUUAUUCCCAAGAACUGGGAACAUUUUACCCUUUGAUCAGAAAGACAUUGUCUCAGGUCUACAACUGCAUCUCAUCUGGUCCCAUAACACUGCUAUCAAGGUUCGGGACCAUUGAGCUUAAGAGCCAGUGCAGCCCCAGUUUCUCAGUCUGGGGUCAUUUGUGCCAAGAACAGGCCUUGAAGUUAGUUGUGAAGUGCUUGUUUACGGUCUUGUUGCAUCACUUGUCAGCUGUGAGGAGGGUCAGUGGGCUGGUUAGGACACUGACCAGCCUGUGCUGUGCAGUCAGUGUUGCUGUGGCCAAGGACAGGCUCGUUUCCAGCAGAUUCCCUAAUGCUGAUGCCAGCAGAAAAGCCCGUCCUCCCUGUGCAGUGCACAUCCUCGUUUCAGGCCCUCUCCCAGAAUCCACCAUCUAUGGCCUUCAGAUUGUCGGUCUGUUGCUCUUUCUGUGGUGCAGGCUCUGGAACAAUGUUCCUCCCAUUUUCUGGAGAGGUGGAUGGCAGGAACACCAGAGGUCAUUUUCCUGUGCUCUUGAAGGGGGAGUUCUCCCUUAUCAGACAGGGCUGCUAGGAGUUGCUGGCCUGUCCUCAGCGGCUUGUGUGUGUUUUGGGGUUUGUGAUUUCAUACAUGGCCGUGAAUAUGACUGUGUGUGUGACUGUAACUGCAGAACGAAUGCUCCUGUCUAUACAUUCCGCAUGUUAUGAAUCUGAUCGGUGUGUGAGCUGCAAGGGCCUUGCAAUGAGAACAGCUCUUGUGCACACGCAGCUCCUGUAGUGAGAGGGAUUGUGCUUUGUGUCCGGGGAAAUGGGCCCUAGCGGUGCAAUGACAACGCCACUGGUACUGCAUGUUCAGUUGUUCCUGUGCUUGCCAGAAUGCAGCUGUAGGUUUGGUGGGAAAGAAGCAGGAAUAAGUUAUUGGUGAUAAUUGCCUUAGCCUACAAUUUACUUUUUUGUUUGCCCUCUGGUUCUGGUGUUUCCCUUGGCGAGUUUCUGGUCAGGCAGAAGGAAACAAAAUCACUCAGAGGAAAAUGCAGUCGGCUACUGUUUCCCCCUUGGAAGUCUAUUGAGAGAGUGCAAUUGCAACUGGAAUGGGACCCGCACUGAGGAAAUGACUGCAUGCUUUCUUCUGAUAUUCAAAUCAGAAUGGUGUUGGGAAAUGCUAAGUGCGACUCUGAUCCGCUUCCUAAGCACAGAGACUGGCUCCUCACGUUACAAGUCAUAUGAUCGCAUGCCACCUGUAUAUAUACCAGGUGCCUGGUGCCUCUGCUCAGACUGCACUGAAGGCCCAUCUUCGGAAAAACCUCUCACUGCAGAGACAUUACCUGCGACUAUCAUGUCUGGGCAGUUCUCUGAUCCCAUGACUCCUACUCCAGAAAUCCAGGAGAUCGCUAACAGGGUGAGGCCAAAACUUGAAAAGGAGGUCGGCAGGAGAUAUCCCAUCUUUCUUGCUGUGCUAUAUAGGUAUCAGAUGGUUCUUGGCACCAACUACUGUAUUAAGUUCUCGUGUUUCUCUUGGCACCCUUCUGGUCAGGCAGAAGGAAACAAAAUCACUCAGAGGAAAAUGUAGUCAGCUACUAUUUCCCACUUCGAAGGCUAUUGAGAGGGUGCAAUUGCAACUGGAAUGGGACCCGCACUGAGGAAAUGACUGCAUGCUUUCUUCUGAUAUUCAAAUCAGAAUGGUGUUGGGAAAUGCUAGGUGUGACUCUGAUCCGCUUCCUAAGCACAGAGACUGGCUCCUCACGUUACAAGUCAUGUGAUCCCAUGCCACCUGUAUAUAUACCAGGUGCCUGGUGCCUCUGCUCAGACUGCACUGAAGGCCCAUCUUCGGAAACACCUCUACUGCAGAGACAUUACCUGCCACUAUCAUGUCUGGGCAGUUCUCUGAUCCCAUGACUGCUACGCCAGAAAUCCAGGAGAUCGCUAACAGGGUGAAGUCACAACUUGAAAAGGAGGUUGGCAGGGCAUUUACCAUCUUUAAUGCUGUGCUAUAUAGGUACCAGAAGUUUGUUGGGACCAGCUACUUGAUUAAGGUCGAAGUUGCUGAUGGCGAUUAUAACCACUUACUGGUGUUUCAGCCACCUCUUGACAGGAAAGUCGGUCCCGAACUUGUCCGGUAUUGGACUGGCAAAACCAGACACGAUCCUCUGGAAUGCUGAGAAAUCAUGGGAACGGGGCCUCAGUUGUGCAAACUGCAUGUGGGUUCUGCCUGCGUCAGUAAAUGCAGGACAAUAAAAUAAGUU